rnacentral:rRNA from 1 species
CCUACGGGAGGCAGCAGUGGGGAAUAUUGCACAAUGGGCGAAAGCCUGAUGCAGCAACGCCGCGUGAAGGAAGACGGUUUUCGGAUUGUAAACUUCUAUCAAUAGGGAAGAAAGAAAUGACGGUAACUAAAUAAGAAGCCCCGGCUAACUACGGGCCAGCAGCCGCGGUAAUACGUGGGGGGCAAGCGUUAUCCGGAAUUACGGGGUGUAAAGGGAGAGUAGGCGGCAAGGUAAGCGUUAUGUGAAAGCCUUAAGCUUAACUUAAGGAUUGCAUAACGAACUAUCUAGCUAGAGUACAGGAGAGGAAAGCGGAAUUCCGAGUGUAGCGGUGAAAUGCGUAGAUAUUAGGAAGAACACCAGUGGCGAAGGCGGCUUUCUGGACUGAAACUGACGCUGAGGCUCGAAAGCGUGGGGAGCGAACAGGAUUAGAUACCCCGGUAGUC